rnacentral:rRNA from 1 species
GGUGAACGCUGGCGGUAGGCCUAACACAUGCAAGUCGAACGGCAGCACAGUAAGAGCUUGCUCUUACGGGUGGCGAGUGGCGGACGGGUGAGGAAUACAUCGGAAUCUACUUUUUCGUGGGGGAUAACGUAGGGAAACUUACGCUAAUACCGCAUACGACCUACGGGUGAAAGCAGGGGAUCUUCGGACCUUGCGCGUUUGAUUGAGCCGAUGUCGGAUUAGCUAGUUGGCGGGGUAAAGGCCCACCAAGGCGACGAUCCGUAGCUGGUCUGAGAGGAUGAUCAGCCACACUGGAACUGAGACACGGUCCAGACUCCUACGGGAGGCAGCAGUGGGGAAUAUUGGACAAUGGGCGCAAGCCUGAUCCAGCCAUACCGCGUGGGUGAAGAAGGCCUUCGGGUUGUAAAGCCCUUUUGUUGGGAAAGAAAAGCAGCAGGUUAAUACCCCGCUGUUCUGACGGUACCCAAAGAAUAAGCACCGGCUAACUUCGUG